CUGGACUAGAGGGAAUUACCACCACGAGAUAAACAAACGGAGAUAAAAGCCCGCGCCGUCUGCAGACUCGCCUGAAACGCAGCAUAUGAACUCGUGAUGAAUCCGGUGGCCUUGGUCUGCCACUCGCUAUAUUACUCGUCUGAAUGUAAUGAGCUGAAUCAGAGGAACGGCGGGUCUGGCCUUUACCUGACUCACACAGGGUACCUUCAGUUCAAUUCAACUCCACACACACACACACACACACACACACACACACACACACACACACACUUCUCCACACCUCCUUUCCUGGAGGAGGGGUUAUACUCUGUUGGAGGAGGGAGAGGACGGUGUAAUUCACGUGCAGAUGGAGGCGGACGGUCGGAAACGAAGCACGAAGCAGGAUGUUCAGAAUAAAAUUAAUUUCGGUUUAAUUUGAUUUAUAUAGCACUUUUAACAGUGCACACUGUCCAAGCGGAAAUCCGGAUAUAAAUUUUAAAUUUAGCCCUAAUGAGAAAGUCAGAGGCAAGAAAAAACGACCUCCCCGAGACGGCACGAGGAAGAAACCUUGAGAGGAACCAGAUUCACAAGGGAACUCCUCAACAAGGAAGUAGGUCCACGGUCACGUCGAGUCCACGUCGGCGCGGUAGACGCUACGGCUCCAAUAACAUUCCGUUAAAAGUCUUAAACCAUAAAUAACAUCAGUCGGGUCCAACAGGUUUGUAGAUUCACACUGUGACACAAAUCCGUGUUCAGCAAAUCAAGUGCUCCACCACACAACUCAUUUUACAGCAGCUGCUCUGCAGUUGUUUCAUUCACCGCUUUAAAAAACAUUACAUGCAAAUAUCUUUACUGCCGGUGAGCCGAUAUCGAGCUCAAGCGAUUACUGCGUGUAUUAUUACACUCGAUUACACCCGUCACGCAUGAUCACCACCACAUGGCCUCCACAGCAUUAAAGAUAUCUUCUCCUCCACCAAUAUCCCUUCGUUAACUCUCGUUAACAGAUAUUUGAAUAUUAUAAUUAGGUAGGAGGGACAAAGAUUUCCAGAUUGCACAAGAACCCGGUCAAGAACUCUACUGAUUUUAUUUCUCUCCAUUUUUUAUUUUACACAUUUAUAAGAGAUCCGGGAACUGAAUCCGUCUCUACACGAUGACGGUAACAGCGACGGCCGGUUUCUGCUCCACUGGACCGGUUCAUUUAUCGAGCUGUCUUUUCUCGACAGUCCGUGUCCGAGAAGGAUCCAUAGGGCUAAUUAGGCUCGAGUCUGAGAACUCCUCUUGCACAUCUAUCUGUCUGACCGAGGAAGGGCAGAGAAUCC
ensembl:lncRNA